rnacentral:rRNA from 1 species
GACGAACGCUGGCGGCGUGCUUAACACAUGCAAGUCGAACGGAAAGGCCCUGCUUUUGUGGGGUGCUCGAGUGGCGAACGGGUGAGUAACACGUGAGUAACCUGCCCUUGACUUUGGGAUAACUUCAGGAAACUGGGGCUAAUACCGGAUAGGAGCUCCUGCUGCAUGGUGGGGGUUGGAAAGUUUCGGCGGUUGGGGAUUGACUCGCGGCUUAUCAGCUUGUUGUUGGGGUAGUGGCUUACCAAGGCUUUGACGGGUAGCCGGCCUGAGGGGGUGACCGGCCACAUUGGGACUGAGAUACGGACCAGACUCCUACGGGAGGCAGCAGUGGGGAAUAGUGCACAAUGGGCGGAAGCCUGAUGCAGCAACGGCGCGUGCGGGAGGACGGGCUGCGGGUUGUAAAGCGAUAUCGCCUGUGACGAAGCGUAAGUGACGGUAAUAGGUAAAGAAGCACCGGCUAACUACGUG